rnacentral:lncRNA from 1 species
CUAAUAUAAUUUUGAUAAUAUGGAAAUAAUAAAUGUAUACGCAUACACUUUACUUAAUAAAUAAAUUAAAAAAAAAAAAUUCUUUCUACUACACCUUCUGUCAUUUUCUUUGGGUACACCUUUGAACGAAUGACACUUGUUCAAGUCGAAUGUUAAAUGUCUAGAUUAAUAAAGCCAACCCAUAGUUAAAGAAAUAAAAUUUGCGAAGAGACUCCUCCAACUUUUUUAAGAAAUUUCUCAUCUCCUUUAAAUUUUCGAUCACAUUAAUAUCAUUGCUUUCAUUUUAAUUUUACAUCCAAAUAAAAAAUUAUCUUAAUAAAUUGAGAUUAUGUACCCAAUUCUGGGGGUUAGUUCUCUUUUCUGAUUACAUGGCUAAAUAUGUACCCAAAUCUUGUGUCUUUUCUGAUUGGCUAAUUUUCUUUUCUUUUUCUCGUUUGAUUUUGCUGUUCAUGUCUAAUAAAAUUUUACGUGAAUAUGUUAUUUCAAAUAGUCCAUAUAUAGUCUAGUUUUAACCUAUUUAUCGAAAGUUAAGAACAGGUUUAGGAUCACGGAGAUUAAUUAAAUUUAAGGGUAAGCUGUCCAAUUUACUCGGUGAAAAAUGGACAAGAAUUCCCAAUGCACUGUAUUUGAAUGGUAACCUGUCCAUUUCUUUCUUUUAAAAAAAUCUAUUUUAUAUUGGAAAAAAUGAAAAUUACAAAGUGGACAAUCAAAAUCGAGUUAAAGUUUAGAUAGCCGACCAACUAAAUUCAAUUAACCCCAUAAAAAGGAUACAAAUUCCAAUAUGACUAUUUCUACUGAAUUCAUUCUGUAAAUCUAGUCGAGGAAAAAGAAAGAGGCAAAAAACAAAUGGAAAAGAUAAAGUUGGUUAAGAUGGCGAGCAGUGAAUAACAUUGCUAUCCCAUGAUGAAACUUUGACUUGACUCAUAAGGAUGGUUAAUUUAAUUUACUAAUUAUUCACCCUUAAUAGUCGACACAGACUAACUUUGUAAUGGAAUUCUCCAGCUUCUAGAUGUGAUGUUCAACGCUUUCGUCAGAUUUAAUCCAUUCUUACGUCAUGCAAACUAACUAGUUUAUUUUUAUAUAUAUGCUUUGCACAUUUCAAAGGCUAAUAUAAAAAAAUAAAAAAAAAUAGAUUGUGGAUUAAUUGCUGAAUUGUUCCAAAAUCUCAAACUAUACUAAUAUCAUGUUAAAUUGUGUUAUUGCCUUAUCUAAAAGCAAAAUUGUGCAACGUGUAUAUAUAUAUAUAUAUAUAUAUAUAUAUAUAUAUAUAUAUAUAUAUAUAUAUAUAUAUAUAUACACACUUUAGCUCUGCAACAUUGAUUGUUAAAUAUUUCCUAGCUAAAAAUGUUGCAACUAUCCUAAUGAAUCAACAUAAAUGCUUAUUUAUAUAAGUACUCAUUCCAUCCCAUGAUAUUUGAUUAAGCAUAGAGUUUAAAAAAGAAAGAUUUUAUUUUUAAAUUUGUGGUAUAAAUCAAGUUAUAAAUAUUUAUGUGAUUAAAAAAUUAUCU